GCCCUGAGUGCACAUUUGGCUGCAUUCCAGGCAGCCACACAGGCAAUGUAACAGUGAACUCAGUUCCUAUCUGUCCCUCCCACUUCCUGCAGAGAUCAUACCUCCUCCUCCUCCUCCUCCUCCUCCUCGUCUGAGCACCUCUGUCCAUACUUUCAUGCUGCAGCUGACAGGGUUCAGUCACAGAACCAUUCCUGACUCUGUCUGCUUGUUGCUCCUGCUGCAGGCUGCUGUUCCAUGAACCUGUCUUCAACCAGAAAGUCAAGAUGAGGCCAAGUGGCAUCCUGAGCAAGCGUCGUAUGUACAGGAGCUUAUUCGACAGGGGAAUAUGGAUCUUUUCAAUCUAUCUUGAAAUAGAGCUGGAAUCUGUGGCAGUAAAUGUAACCAUCCAGGACUUUGUGGCUGAUGUGGAGUCUAAGCUGUUUUUCCGCAAUAAGCAGCAAGUCUCUGAGGAGAUCAUGUUCAUCUUUCCUGUGGACUCUGACACUGUUGUAUACACCUUCUAUGCUACCAUGGGGGACACUCGUAUUGAAGCAAUGCUCUGGGACAAGGAGGAGGCCCAGAAGCUGCACAAAGCCACUUCAGGCAUGGAGAAUUUGAGAUACCUGCAAGAUCAGCCGCAUAUUUGGGGUCCAGUGUUUGCUUGUUUCCUGGGGACCCUGCCUCCUAACAGGGAGGUGGCCAUCAACCUGUGCUAUAUCCAGGAGCUGCCGCUGCAUACUGAUGGAUCUGCCUUGUUUUGCUGGCCACGAGACCUUUUCCCCCAAUAUACACGCUUUAGCUGGCGGAUUUCUGAGGACGAGAUACUGGAAAACCUGCGCUUUAGAAUCUGCCUGCAGUCAGCCUGUGGUGUGUCUCAUAUAGACAUUAACAGCAGCCACACCCCUCUGCAAUACACAGCUCCAGAUCAGACAUCUGCUGAGGUUUCAUUGAAAUCAACACCCUGGCAUUUUGAUGAUUUGCAAUUGCUUGUGUAUUAUAAAGGGCCUCACAAUCUCAGUGCUGUGGUGGAGAGGAGAGAUCCCAAAGCUGCACCUGGAUCUCUGCUGGGAGACCCUGUGGUGAUGGUGACACUGAAGCCCAGCAUUCCUGAAGUGGUGCCCAGUACAGGCCAACUUGGGGAAUUCCUCUUUCUCAUAGACUGCAGCCUCUUCCAGGAUGCACAGAACACACUGCUCUUCCUCCUCAAGAGUUUGCCUGUGGGCUGCUAUUUCAACAUCUACAGCUUUGGGGCCACUUUCAAAGCCUUCUAUCCGCGAAGUGUGGAAUACACGCAGGAAAGCAUGGACAAUGCUGUGAGACACCUCUCUUCCAUCUGCCCUGAUCUAGGGGGCUGUGACCUCUUGGGCCUCCUAAAGUCUAUCUACAGCACACCUCUUCUUCGUGGGCAUCCCCGCCAGCUCUUCAUAUUCAUCCAGAGGAAGAUCUCCAGCGAAGAGGAAGCUAUCAUGGCUGAGGUCCACCGCUACCGUGAUGACCAUCGGUGUUUCUGUUUUCCUGUUAACAGCUGUGACAGCUUCAACCUUUCCCAGGCCAUUUCCCUGGAGACCAAGGGUGAAUGUGUGUGCAUCCACUCCAGGCUGGACAUGACAUCUGAGGCAGUGAAAUGCCUGCAGCAGGCCCUGCAGCCUCUGGCAAGUGAGAUCUCACUACACUGGGACCUUCCACCAGGCCUGGAGGUGACAAUGAUUAGAAAAGCUCCUGAGUCUAUCUUCCAGGGACAUCAGAGCAUCAUCUAUGCCCAGAUCCAUGGACAAGCACAGGAUCCAGAAGCAGAUGUGGCAGCUGUGACCCUAAAGUACCAUGUAGGCAGCCAGUCCUUCGAUUACACACUCAGGUUCUCACUGUCCCCAUCAGCAGAUGACAGGCUGCCUGUGCACCGUAUGGCCUUGAUGCAUCUGCUGUGGAAGCUUUCCCGGGGUGGGACAAGCAGGUCAGAGAAGGACAUUUGGCAGAAUGCAGUUAAGUUCAGCCUCAGCCUGGGGGUCCAAUCCCCCUUCACAUCCAGCACAGCUGUACGCAUGGAACUGAUGGAUACCUGCCACCGUGAUUCUUUGCCUCUAGACUCCCCCAUGCUGUUUCCUCCCUCUCGCAACCUGGUUCCCUGCCAGCUCCUCUGGUGUGGCUCCAGGCCUGUGUGGUUCGACUCCACCAAGUUUUGGAUGGUCCAAAAGUUCCAGUUCUGUCUUGAGAUGCUUCAUCCCAAAGCCUCUGACGCUGUAGCACUGACCAAGCUUUCAUCCCCCUGUAAAGACUUCCUGAUUAUCACUGUGCUGGUGAUGGAUGGAGAAAUAGGCAAAGCAAAUUUGCCCAUAGUGCAUUGGAAGCUUCAGUCCAGACAGAGCAUGAAAGGAAGAGACUGCUGUCUAGGUCUUGAGCUGAAGAGAGAGGCUGGUGCUUCUCUCUGGGGCUGGGGUAGAAGUGUCCUCCUCUGUGAGAGGUAUACUCUAGACAAGGCCUGGAGCUGCUAACUGAAGGAACUAAAUGUAAUGAGCACACUGCACACCAUCAAGGUGAAUGAAGAGGAGAUUGUUGUGGUCUUUGUGGAAAGUCUGCAGAGAGAAGAUUUUGAGUGACAUGAAGCAAGGAAGAUAGGACAUCUGGAAUUCACAGUCAGAAUGGAGAAAGCUGGAGGCUUGUGACUUCUGGCACCAAUAGGAAGGCUCCUGCUCAACCUGCAGACCUGCAGCUUCAGAAUAGAGCAGGAAUCUCCUCCUGAAGAGCUGGUGAUGGAGGAACCACCACCAUUUCACAUAAGUUGGGACUGGAAAAUUUCACCGUUGUCGACAAGAUUGUGUGACUUCUCCAGUCUCAGGGCAGUAGUGGCACUCCAGAAAGCAAAUG